CACCCACCUUCCAGAGGGCUGGAGACCAGGCCCUAGCUUGGGAGAUACCAUCCUACUCCUGCUAUGGGUGUUGACAAUAUGGAGAACCGGGAUAACUGGACUAAAAAGAAAGUUGUGAGACUGUCUGCGGAAAGAAACGCUGCCAUGAAUGAAAUUUUAGAUCUGCAGAAAAGG